GGGUUGUGGCUCAGUGGUAGAGUGCUUGUCCUAGCAUGUGUGAGGCACUGGGUUCAAUCCUCAGAACACA
rnacentral:tRNA from 1 species